GAAAGACCAUCGUACAAACAAAGAACUGCACUGAACAUGCAGAUGAGAAAGCGACUUAAAGUGGGGUGAACGAAGUGAUGAAUUCAGACAAAAUCAGUCAUCAUUUGAACAUCAGUAUCAUCAGGUCUACAGUGCAGUAAGUAUGAAGACUCUCAGCCUGACGGUGGGACUGCUGCUCGUGGUGUUUGCAGUUUACCACAGCGAUGCCUAGUGAGAUAGCCAUGAUGUCAGUGUCACUGAUGUGUAUUGUCACGAAGACCAACGUUAAUCUCAAGUGAGCUAUGAGAAUGUGGCUUGAAGAAGGGUCAUUGGACCGAUCACUUCAGACACGUCAUCAUCAGGUCUACAGUACAGUCAGCAUGAAGACUCUCAGCCUGACGGUGGGACUGCUGCUCGUGCUGUUCACCGUUUACCACAGCGAUGCCUAUCCCGUGGACCCGUCCCUGUUUUCCCGGUGAAGAUCCUUAGUUGUGGAUGACUGGAGAGUGGCUGGUAGAGAGCAGUGAGUGGGCGAAGAAGCGCAAGUGUUUUCCCUUGUCCUCCCCACCUUGGAUUCCCUGGAGCCCGGACCCCUGUCACACUUGUAUAUAGCAAAAUUCCCUGCACUGUCUGUAAAUACACCUGUGAAUGUGAAAUAAACCUCACUGUGUCUUCUGUGUGUGAAUCCUCAGUGAACCAUUACAUAAGUAUACACAUGUUUCAUAUAAACAUAGUCUAACAUUCUUAUUGGCAGUAGCUCAAAUAAUUGAGCAUUUCAAUUACAUGAAAAAUUCA
ensembl:lncRNA